rnacentral:rRNA from 1 species
AGCAAGCACCGGCUAACUCCGUGCCAGCAGCCGCGGUAAUACGGAGGGUGCAAGCGUUACUCGGAAUCACUGGGCGUAAAGCGCGCGCAGGCGGCUAUUUAAGUUGGAUGUGAAAGCCUACGGCUCAACCGUAGAACUGCAUCCAAAACUAUUUGGCUAGAGUGUGGGAGAGGAAGAUGGAAUUAGUUGUGUAGGGGUAAAAUCCGUAGAGAUAACUAGGAAUACCAAAAGCGAAGGCAAUCUUCUGGAACAUUACUGACGCUGAGGCGCGAAAGCGUGGGGAGCAAACAGGAUUAGAUACCCUGGUAGUCCACGCCCUAAACGAUGAAUGUUAGUCGUCGGGUAGCUAGUCUAUUCGGUGAUGCAGCUAACGCAUUAAACAUUCCGCCUGGGGAGUACGGUCGCAAGAUUAAAACUCAAAGGAAUAGACGGGGACCCGCACAAGUGGUGGAGCAUGUGGUUUAAUUCGAAGAUACGCGAAGAACCUUACCUAGCCUUGACAUAUUUAAGAAUCCGAUAGAGAUAUUGGAGUGCCUUCGGGAGCUUUCUUACAGGUGCUGCACGGCUGUCGUCAGCUCGUGUCGUGAGAUGUUGGGUUAAGUCCCGCAACGAGCGCAACCCUCGUCACUAGUUACUAACGGUUCGGCCGAGGACUCUAGUGAGACUGCCUUCGUAAGGAGGAGGAAGGUGAGGACGACGUCAAGUCAUCAUGGCCCUUACGGCUAGGGCAACACACGUGCUACAAUGGCCAGGACAGUGAGACGCGAUACCGUGAGGUGGAGCAAAUCUAUAAACCUGGUCUCAGUUCGGAUUGUAGUCUGCAACUCGACUACAUGAAGCUGGAAUCACUAGUAAUCGUAGAUCAGCUAUG